rnacentral:lncRNA from 1 species
AGCUUCGUUCAGGCCCGGCCGGGACUUGAUCAUCCUGGAAAUUAUAUCGCUGGCUCGUCCCACUUGGGGGAAAGCCAAUUACCUGGACUGGGAGCCAUUGGCAUCUCGUCCGGCCUCCCGCAGCCAGACAGGAACCCUGAGCUUCUGCUUCCAGCCUGGCCUGGCCUGUCCUAGAGAGUCCGCCUGGGUGAGGGGAGAGCCAGCCUGCGAGGGGCCCCUCCCACCUGGCCUUUCCUGUGGGGCUGCAGUGGAACCUUCUCAUUUGCCUGAAAUGGAAAAAAGUCAAGCCCCGCAGCAGAAAAUGUCCGGGUUGCUGGAGGCGAAGGCUUCUGAAACACCGAACCAGCAAAAAGUGCCCGAGAGCCUCGGAGGGCCCGGGGGGCAAGGCCAGCGAGCCUGGUUUACAGAGAAGGAAAAAGAGGUUCCAAAGGGUGCCCCGAAGCCGGGAGGUCUGGGCUCAUCUCUGCCCCAGCGCGUCCCACAGCCUGGCCCCAGUUCUCAUCCCAAGGUCCCGAGUCCUGGACGGGGGCUCCCUGGGCCCUGAGCUCGGGGUGGGGGAGCCCAGCUCCUGGAUUUCUGCACGGUGGGCUGGG